rnacentral:lncRNA from 1 species
GCAAGAAGUGUUAUUUAUAAACUACGUCAUUAAUAGUAUUAUCAUAAUAUUGUUUUAUAUUUUUAUCAUCAUUAUAUCUACGGUCAAAAACUCAAAGUUCGGCGUUGAUCUCGCAUUGAAAAAUUCUUGGCUUUGUCUGUGAGAGCUAUGAUCCCUUGGAGAAGGGUCGAAAAUGUGGGUCUGGAUUUGAUCAUUUCCGGCUUCAACUAACUUGACUUCUUCAAAGAACUUAAAAGUUGGAUACAAGUAUGCAUCAGCUGCAAAAGAUUAAUUGCCAUCAAAUUCAGCGGCACAAUCUUUCACGUCCUUGUUCAAAGCUUCCUGAAGAGCUCAAGCGAAGGAAGAAAUUAUUACCAAUCAAGAUCCAAAGAAACAUCAAUUUCUUUACUCUUGCAAACAUAUCGAAAAUUCGAGUGUACAAAAUUUUCAAAUGAAAAGGCAAGUGGAACAUCACUUCGGUAAUUUUAUGUGAUCGACUGUCCCUGGACUAUCGUAAGAGCAGUAACAUUGAAUAUACCGAAUGUUUAGCAACUAAGAGAUAACAUCUAGUUAAGCUAACUUAAAAAGAAUUGAAUUAAAUGCUAACUUUUGAAAAGUAUCGAUCAUGCAAACUAGAUCUCACCUUAAGAGGGUACAUUUUGAAUGCAGAUUCAAAGCGAUUUUUGCAGAACUUACAGAAGAUCAAUGUUAAGAUAAGUAGAAUGACGAGAAAAGGAGUGGAACUUGCAGCUUUUUUUGUACUCAAUAAUCUCAUUAACAGGAUCUGCGAUAUUAUUAAGCUUAGUAUUAUGCGUCCAUGAACGUGUGGCCAAAAGGCAACAACACUUUCAUAACGUUGGUUGUAUACAUUAAUAACCUACAUGAUAAUAUAAGAUUAAUGAUAUAAGAUUGGCAAUAAUUACAACCAUUGUCUAUCAAAAUUGCAGGUUAAAAAACUAAAGAGCUUCACUCAACUGAUACCGAUCACACAAAAGUGAACAUAGUUUACAUAUGCACACGCCCUUCAAAAUAUUUACCAAUAGGCUCAAGUUGAAGUUGAAACAAUUAAUAUAAUAGAAGAAGCAUGUUUAGCCAAGGUCAAACAAAAUGUAAAAGAGAUUUUCAAGUAAUUCUUUGUUUUUAAACAUGUUUGGAUAACUUAUUUUAAAGGUAACUCUUAUACCCAUAAAGAAUAAUAAUACAUUUUAAAACAAAUUUAUCGACUUACACUUUGCAAAUAAACAGUUUAAGCUUAGCCAAACACGUUCAUAAGAAUAUUUAGAAUUAUUUCAGAAAUUCAGGACAUGCACAUUUCCAUAAUAGUGCUUCCCUCUGAUAAUGUCGGUUGACAUUAAUAUACCAAGACUCAUAAAACUUGAAAAUGAGUUAAAUGUCUUCACGUUAACAUUUGCAUGAGUUAAAUGUCUUCACGUUAACAUUUGCAUAAAUUGAAAUGAUAAAAUUAAACAAAAAUUCAAUUGAGAACUAACCUGAUGACGAUACACGAUAUAUGCUAAGGCAAAAAAGAACAGUAUAAAAGGAAGAAGAAUCGGCGUAACAACAAUAUAUACAAUGCCCAGAAGGAAUUACAAUUGAAGUCUGGGGAGAGUCAUGGGAAAAUCAAUGCCUCCGGGGUUCAGGGCUUCUCCAGGUCUCUUUCAGUUUUUACAAUGAAUCUGUUCUUUAGGUGGAAAAUCACUAAAGAUUUCAAUAGGAGCAUCUCGCUAGCAAAUCCUAGACCACUCAUCGACCAUUAUGUACGUAAUAAAGAAAGUGGCUUUCAUGGGAAUUGAAACACCGAUGUGUCUUGCGAACCUGUAACCAAUUAAAUCUUCAUUCAGAAUGAAAAUCAUUGAGAAUAAAAGAAGAGUGAAAGAUAGUGUCGUCGGAGUUAUAGUCAGUCAUACCUCCUGUUCAAAAAAUAUGCUACAAAACAUAAUUUAAUCAUAUUCUUCCAAGAUGACACAAUUUUCUUGUUAGAUUUUGUGCCCCUGAUUAGGUUGGAUUUUUUUUAUUUUAUUUGGAAAUAUGACGUUCUUAUUUUCACGUGAUUUUAUUGAAAAAUAUUGUUUUCUCUAUUUCACGUAAUUUUAUUGGAAAAUAUUAUUUCCUUUAUUUCACAUUAUUUUUUUAUAUUAUUUUCAUCUUUAUGUUAUGGUAUGUACAUAUAAAUAGUGGGCUCUUCAUUCAAUUUAGUUUAAACUUCA